GUUUGACAUAUAAGGCCAUUGAAAACAUAAGCACUUGUAGGUUUAUUUUUCCCUCAAUAAAAUAUGGUGUUAAACAUGGAAACUAAGAUUGACACCUAAACUAUACACUAUCUAGAAAUGUACAUGAUGACACUAGACAAUAAUAGGACAAAAGAUAUUAGAGAUAAUUGAUGCUUACACAAAGUUCUAUUCUAGUGGGUUCAUUAAAAGAGUCGGUGUUGCAUGGACCACAUCAAAAACUUGUCCUAUGUGAAGUUUCCGAUGACGCAACACAUAGUUGAGAGAUGGUAAAGGUUCAUGACAUACUAGCGAACAAUGUGCAAUCAUGUGAUGUUUUUCGUGUUAUUGGGAACAGGGUCCCCAUAGCCUUGUGAUGAUCAAACCAAUCGAAUAACCCGGGGAUAGUCACCCUAGGGGUUCAACCCCAAUCUAAAUUACCACAAGCUAUCCCACCUAGGAAGGUCGUCAACUCAAGGAUUCUAAGUUGGCCUUCCCCUCGGGAUCAUAGGGUUGCACUAGAAAGCAACAGGUGAUGCACACAUAUGAACAUGCUCUUUUUAGAAUACACGAUGGAUGGUUAACUCUCCCUAUUCCACAUGGUGGGAUUGGGUCAUGAGUCACCUUGUUUUGUUUGGCCCGAUGAGGCUAUCAGUGGACAUAGUCUAGAGAUGCACUGCUGGCCACCCCUACUACAGCGUACAAGAUUUGACUUACUAAACACCCCACUUGACUUAGAUUGUGGGUACCCAGAAGAGUAUAUAAUUGGACAACCUGGACCAAGUGAAGGACCUUUGGAUUGCUAGCGACUUGACAGCCUUAGCCAAGCACUAAGCAAUACAACACAUAAGAGUAGGGUAAUAUGCACAAUGCAUCCCAAACCUAUAUAAACUCUUUGUUUAUUGUUUGCUUCAAACCCAAGGAGCUCUUGUGUUGGAUUUGGCGUGCUUAAUCUUAAACCCUGGGCAAAAACAAAGAGGGCUCACUCAGGUCUCCACUUUUGGUUUUUGUUUGCCAGCCAUACUGCUUGCUGAAAACCUUAUUCGUCCUCUCCUAUUGUAAGACAUGAGAGGCAACAAUUUCAAAGACCUUUUUCCUGAUCACUAGUUCACACUAGCAGAUGAUGGGGGAUGGAGUAGACUAUAUAUGAAGAUGUAGUAUAUAGGGGGAUGAAAACUCUAGAAACCUAGCGUUGAUGUGGCGCCUAGGUAUUUAUAUAGAUACAAGGAUGUGUGAUCAACACUACUACAUGAUCUUCAUAAGUCUUAUGUGAACAAGAUAAAUCAUGCAUAACCUAUUGGGACUAUAUGCCACAAUAAUACACUAGAUAAUUUGUUGUUAUUUGUAGCAACCAGGAGAUAAAUUUGGUGGACUAUUUAUACACAUGUUGUGUGUUCAUGCUUGUCACCC
rnacentral:lncRNA from 1 species